rnacentral:snRNA from 1 species
UCGCUCAGUUCAGCAACACAUAUACUAAAAUUGGAAUGAUAUAGAGAAGAUUAUCAUGGUCCUUGUGCAUGGAUGAAAUGCAAAUUCCUGAAGCAUUUCAUAUUUGU